rnacentral:rRNA from 1 species
UACGAAGGGGGCUAGCGUUGCUCGGAAUCACUGGGCGUAAAGCGCACGUAGGCGGAUCUUUAAGUCAGGGGUGAGAUCCUGGAGCUCAACUCCAGAACUGCCUUUGAUACUGGGGAUCUCGAGUCCGGGAGAGGUGAGUGGAACUCCGAGUGUAGAGGUGAAAUUCGUAGAUAUUCGGAAGAACACCAGUGGCGAAGGCGGCUCACUGGCCCGGUACUGACGCUGAGGUGCGAAAGCGUGGGGAGCAAACAGG